rnacentral:rRNA from 1 species
CAAUAGCGUAUAUUAAAGUUGUUGCGGUUAAAAAGCUCGUAGUUGGAUUUCUGCUGAGAACGACCGGUCCGCCCUCUGGGUGUGUAUCUGGCUCUUUCUUGGCAUCUUCUUGGUGAACGUUGCUGCACUUGACUGUGUGGAGCGCUACCCAGGACUUUUACUUUGAGGAAAUUAGAGUGUUUCAAGCAGGCAUACGCCUUGAAUACAUUAGCAUGGAAUAAUAAGAUAGGACCUCGGUUCUAUUUUGUUGGUUUCUAGAACUGAGGUAAUGAUUAAUAGGGAUAGUUGGGGGCAUUAGUAUUUAAUUGUCAGAGGUGAAAUUCUUGGAUUUAUUAAAGACUAACAUCUGCGAAAGCAUUUGCCAAGGAUGUUUUCAUUAA